rnacentral:rRNA from 1 species
GACGAACGCUGGCGGCGUGCUUAACACAUGCAAGUCGAACGGAAAGGCCCUGCUUGUGUGGGGUGCUCGAGUGGCGAACGGGUGAGUAACACGUGAGUAACCUGCCCUUGACUUUGGGAUAACUUCAGGAAACUGGGGCUAAUACCGGAUAGGAGCUCCUGCUGCAUGGUGGGGGUUGGAAAGUUUCGGCGGUUGGGGAUGGACUCGCGGCUUAUCAGCUUGUUGGUGGGGUAGUGGCUUACCAAGGCUUUGACGGGUAGCCGGCCUGAGAGGGUGACCGGCCACAUUGGGACUGAGAUACGGCCCAGACUCCUACGGGAGGCAGCAGUGGGGAAUAUUGCACAAUGGGCGGAAGCCUGAUGCAGCAACGCCGCGUGCGGGAUGACAGCCUUCGGGUUGUAAACCGCUUUCGCCUGUGACGAAGCGUGAGUGACGGUAAUGGGUAAAGAAGCACCGGCUAACUACGUG